rnacentral:rRNA from 1 species
CACGUAUUUAGCCGUCGCUUCUUCUGUUGGUACCGUCAUUUCUUUCUUCCCAACUGAAAGCACUUUACAAUCCGAAGACCGUCAUCGUGCACACAGAAUUGCUGGAUCAGACUUUUGGUCCAUUGUCCAAUAUUCCCCACUGCUGCCUCCCGUAGGAGUAAGGGCCGUGUCUCAGUCCCCUUGUGGCCGUUCACCCUCUCAGGCCGGCUACCCAUCGUCGCCUUGGUGAGCUGUUACCUCACCAACUAGCUAAUGGGGCGCAAAGCUCUCUUACAGCGCAUAUAGCUUUCAUAAAUCUUCCAUGCGGAAAAUUCAUAAUAUUCGGUAUUAGCUAUCGUUUCCAAUAGUUGUCCCAAACUGUAAGGCAAGUUCUUUACGUGUUACUCACCCGUCCGCCACCUUACUAUCACCGAAGUGAAUUCAAGUAGACUUGCAUGUGUUAAGCAUUCUGUCAGCGUUCAUCCUGAGCCAGGAUCAAACUCU